rnacentral:lncRNA from 1 species
GAUAGUAUCAAGCCCUUGGUACUAUUGAGUUUCUACCAUUAUAUAUACCCUUUGAUCAUUCAGCCGUUAGAUUAUACUAUUAAAUCAACUAUCUACUCAACCCUAGAGGACCACUAUUAAUUUAACCGGAGACCACUAUCAUCCCUAAACCGCAUCCUUUCAUUCAACGGCCGAAAACUCAAUAGUAGCCGAACUCUCUCUCUCUCUCAUAGUAGCCGGCUAUUAUACUUUUAUGAGUAUGAUCGCCCCUCGUACUCAUAAGUUGUUUUCAAUGAUAGAGCUUCCGAAUCAACGAUCCACACCGUUAAACGUUAUUUACAGCAUUUAAAAUUCUAGAAAUCAAAUUUAUAAUUUUUCGACAUCAUUCACUUUUACGAUCAAGAUGUCACAAAUUUGACAAUUUUUAACGAGACGGUAUAGGAUACUUGCUAGUUUAACGGUGUAAAAAGAAUCAGAAAUUUGUUGAAUUUUUUGAUAAAAUUCUAUCACUACAUAGAUAAAGAAUAAUACUCCGAUCUUGAAUUGAAGGAUCCGAUCAUCCUUCUUGGACGUCGUUCGAUUUUGACCGUUCAUUUUAUGCCCACGUGAUGGACUUAUUAUGAUUUCGAAAAUUUCCGAUAUUUAUUUUUUAGAAAUUUCAAAUACUUUAAAUCAUAUUUAACGGAGUGGAUCGUCGAUUCGGAAGCUCCAACAUUGAAAAUAACUUAUGAGUAC